UAGCAAUACGUGGCACACGGCUCAGUAACACGUAGUCAGCAUAACCAAUGGACGUGGAUAAACUCGGGAAACUGAGGCUAAACCGCGAUAGACCAAGAUACCUGGAAUGGUUUUUGAUCAAAAUCUAUAUGGCCUUUGGAUUGGACUGCGACCGAUCAGGCUGUUGGUGAGGUAAUGGCCCACCAAACCUGUAACCGGUACGGGCUCUGAGAGGAGGAGCCCGGAGAUGGGUACUGAGACAAGGACCCAGGCCCUAUGGGGCGCAGCAGGCGCGAAACCUCUGCAAUAGGCGAAAGCCUGACAGGGUUAUUCUGAGUGACUUUCGCUAAGAAAGUCUUUUGACAUCUCUAAAAAUGGUGUAGAAUAAGGGGUGGGCAAGUCUGGUGUCAGCCGCCGCGGUAAUACCAGCACCCCGAGUGGUCGGGACGAUUAUUGGGCCUAAAGCAUCCGUAGCCGGUUUUACAAGUCCUCCGUUAAAUCCAACUGCUUAACAGAUGGGCCGCGGAGGAUACUAUAAGACUAGGAGGCAGGAGAGGCAAGCGGUACUCAGUGGGUAGGGGUAAAAUCCGUUGAUCCAUUGAAGACCACCAGUGGCGAAGGCGGCUUGCCAGAAUGCGCUCGACGGUGAGGGAUGAAAGCUGGGGGAGCAAACCGGAUUAGAUACCCGGGUAGUCCCAGCUGU
rnacentral:rRNA from 1 species